CAUUAGAGAGCCCUGUGAAGGAUACUCAGAGCUCCGCCUCCCAGCUUCCUGUUUCAAACCUGCUGCGUACGGCUGCCAACAGAACGACUUAUGGUUGUUCGCACUCCUAAAGGAUGUUACAAGAGAAUUACUCCAGCUGAAACCAAUACUAAUUCAGAAACCUGCAGACAUCUAGAAACAGCCAUCACACUUGAGAUUUACAACUGCCGAGAAGACCUGAGGUUGAAAAUAUGGAUUUUCAUUCCUUCCUCACUGAUAUGGUGAACACUGAAGAGGCAGAUGUUGUGAAAGACUUCAAUGCAAGGUCACUGCA